CAGAAAUUAGCAGACAUGCUGUUCAGCUUCGGGAACUGUGAGACCGGUGCUGUCAUGGCUGUCGUCAGCUCGUGUUGUGAAAUGUUGGGUUAAGUCCCGCAACUGAGCUNAACCUUAUCCGUUUGUUGCCAGCGGUUCAGGCCUGGGAACUCAAAGGAGACUGCCAGUGAUAAACUGGAGGAAGGUGGGGAUGACGUCAAGUCAUCAUGGCCCUUACGACCAGGGCUACACACGUGCUACAAUGGCAUAUACAAAGAGAAGCGACCUCGCGAGAGCAAGCGGACUCUUUNNCNGUAUGUCUGUAUCCGGGAUCUGGAGUCUGGCAACUCGACGUCCAUGAAGGUCGGAAUCGCUAGUAAUCGUAGAUCAGAAUGCUACGGGAAUA
rnacentral:rRNA from 1 species